GGACUCAUAGUUCAGGGGUAGAAUGCUCGCUUCGGGUGCGAGAGGUCCGGGGUUCAAGUCCCCGUGAGUCCC